ACAGGGUGACAGGUGGUGCAUGGUUGUCGUCAGCUCGUGUCGUGAGAUGUUCGGGUUAAGUCCCGCAACGAGCGCAACCCUCGACCUUAGUUGCCAGCAUUCAGUUGGGCACUCUAAGGUGACUGCCGGCUAAAAGUCGGAGGAAGUGGGGAUGACGUCAAGUCCUCAUGGCCCUUAUAGUGGGGCUACACACGUCAUACAAUGGAUGGUACAAAGGGUCGCCAACCCGCGAGGGGGAGCCAAUCCCAUAAAGCCAUUCGUAGUCCGGAUCGCAGUCUGCAACUCGACUGCGUGAAGUCGGAAUCGCUAGUAAUCGUGGAUCAGAAUGUCACGGUGAAUACGUUCCCGGGUCUU
rnacentral:rRNA from 1 species